UGUAAGUCUUCUCACACAGAGGGUUGUAAUGGUAAAACUCAAUACAAGUUUUUUGUUUGGUCUUAAGGAGGUUGUUGUAAUUUUACUAGCAUUUUGGACUACUUUUGCAUUUGAUUGAAUUUGGGAUACACUUUUGUAUUCAAAAUCAAGUUUUAAGUCAUUUUUGGCAAUUUUCCCAAUUUUAAAAAUAGUUUCAAUAAUAUUUUUGGAUUUCUAAAUAAAAUUUCAAACAAUAAUUUUGAAAAUAUAUAUUUUGAAAACAAUAAAUAAAUUUAGAAUUGAAAAGUAUAAUUUCAAAAAUACAAGGGACGUUUUCAAAAAUACCUUCUUUAUCAAGUGGCAACAGACUCUUAUACCCUUGUUCUCUAUAUAUAUAAUAAAUCAUUUUUUAAAUAAAUAAAAAUAAAAAAAUAAUUUUUUUUUUAUGUUUUCGAAUUAUACUUUUUAAUAUAUAUUUUUUUGAAUUUUGUUUUUGAAAUUUUAUUUUUAUUUUUAAGUAUUUAUUUAUAUAUUUAUUAGAAUCCUAAAUUUCAUAUUCCAAAAACCCUAUCCUACCCCACCUCUCAACUCUAAACCCUAAACCUUCAACUCUAAACCCUAAAUCAUCAACUCUAAACCCUAAACCCUCAAACAUCAACUCUAAAACCUAAACCCGAAACAUUAACUUGAAACCCUAAACCUUCAAAUCUAAACCCUAAAACAUCAACUCUAAAUCCUAAAC
rnacentral:lncRNA from 1 species